ACCAAUUAUUACGUCGAAAAUGGCACACUUGACAAUCAUCCAAAAAGCGCACUUUCGCCACGGAGUCGCAGCGCAAAAGCGGUAAACAAACACUCGAUCCAUUGGUCCAAAGCUACCAAACUAUAAAUUAUAUCUCUCAAUGUUAAAUAGGCCGACGAAAAAGAUAAAAGUUAAAUCUGUUUAACGACGAUGUCCAUACUUUGUUAUUUCGAGAUGGAUGUUUUGAACAAGGCUAUAUGGAACAAAAGUAGAUGCAAAGAUUGGAGUGAGUAAGGUGGGUCGUCGCUGGAGAUUAUGGUAUGUCGGCUGCAGCUAAAAAAAAAAUAAAUAAAAAAAGAAAAAAAGAAACCCCAAAAAAAAAAAAGAUGAAAGCAAUUGUGUAGCAAAAAAGUGUUGGAAAUAUUGUAGCAUUCCAACAUUCACAAAGGUUUCUUUUGGUCUUUUGUUUUCUUCUAGAUGUCAAACUGUAACAACAACAAAAAAGCUACUCAUGACUUCCCCACAAGCCAUAUGCCGCAUACAUACUCCGCUUGCCUUGCGCCAUAAAAUGUUUUGACUUUAACAUUGAGUAACAAGGCAGAGCGAUAUGAGAUGAACACCGUUUUGUACGAAAUUGGACGGUUUGCCCCAAAAUUUCUGCAUACUUGACCAAUCCACAAUGUGGGAUGGACAGCGCAUCCUGCACUUCAAAGCAAAUCUGUAAUAAACGUUGAAUAUGCGAAGAAAUGUGAAAAACUAUGAGAAGGGAAUACAGAAGCUUUGAGUAAGACUCCGACUUGGGAGAUUAAAAAUUUCCAUCCAUACACACCUUGGGGAACGGGACUUGGGGAUCAGUACCAAUUCCAACGCUAGUUAAAAAAACAACAACUGGGGAAACGGGGUCAACUGCGACAAAGGGAUUUCGGUUAAAAAAAUUGAAAGGGGGAAAUCGAAAGGGGAAUCGGUAGGAAGGCACAUCUCUAACAUUUCAUAGUGAAAUUUGUCGAGUUUGAGUAUGUUUAAAAUUUUUUUUAAUCAUAUGCCGAGAAAGAAAUUAUGUCAUUUGUUGAGGUGAAACAACCUGCAUCUAUCGAUGAUCAGGCAACGUUUUUCUACGAUUUCUAAUGUUUUCUGGUUUGUAACAAAUGUUAAUAUUGCCUAUCACCCAACAUGAUGAUAAGUUACAUAGUAAAUCACAUGUUUGCUUUACUUUUCGCUGUUUCAAAGUUGAACUACGAUGCAUCCAUAUUAGUAGCGCAACUCAAUAUAAGCCAGCUGGUCAAUGUGCUCCAUCGUUAAUUGAUGUACAAAUCGGAAACAAAGAUAAGAAUACCAUUUAUAAGGGUAAAUACAUUUAUUUGACAAGGUAAACAGAUUCGGCGGGACAUACAUUCGACAGAGAAACAUGUUUGAAAGGAAAAAUCAGGAAAGAUGUAAAAUAAUUGCCUCAACAGCUACAUGUGUGUGGUUUUGCAAACGUAAAGGAGAAUCCAUACAGUUUUUUUAAUUAUAAGUGAGUGAACUAUUGAAGGGCAGAUUGACUGCAUUGGAUGUCUGUUGCAAAAACAUUUAACAGAUAAGCUAAGCUAUACAAUAUAACAAGGCCUGACUUGGCUUUCUUUUUGGAUAGACAACUAGAUUAUGUGGGGGCAACAUAGGCUUUUUACUUUUCUGUCUUUACUACAACAUUUAAACAGAAAAAGUACUAAGUGGGGGACAUUUAACCAGAGAGUAGCAAUUUAAAGUACAGCUGAGAAAGGUGGGAGUCAUGUCCCUGUAUCCCACUGCACCUUGUUGCACUAGCAAAAGGCGCUGCUUAGAACAAUUUUCUGGUUAAAAAAAAAAAAGCGAUACUUUUACAAAACAUUUAGCGUUAAACAAAAUGAAAUUUCACCAACAAAUAUAAAUCUCUUCGAAUGUACAUGGACAUUGUGCUACGAAUUGGUAGCAUCGCUCACUUACUUACUCAUUCACCCUGUCGCUGCUCAAUAAAUAACGCGGAGUGAAAUGGCUUUUGUACGAUAGCUUUUCUCACAGUAAUCCUGGUAGUGAUUUUAUUUCGUUAUUGUGUUUCACAUAGUAUGCGUUUAGGUGAAUCUCCCACAGUGUCUUAGCCCUCAUUAUUUGGUAAACAAAUAGAAGUAAAAAUUAAAGGAAAAGUAUUUUAUGAAUAGAGGUUUAUAGCAAUUCAGCUAUCUUAUCGGCCGAAAAUACGUACGUUGUUCGAGGAAAUUAACAAUUUUAAAUUUCUUUCCUAGUUUUAUCCACAUGUUAAUGAAUUGUUGUACACUGUCAUUGCACAAAUCACUUGCAUACUAGCUGCGCGCAUGUCAAAAAUAUAUUUAAAAGAUGUUGUCCUAAUAUUGGAUGUUCUCUGAAUAUCUAAUGAAUAAAAAAAAAGUUACUUCUUUUUUGUCUUACUUACAUUUUCAUUGCAUCCGUUUUAAUGUCAUCUUUCUUUCCUAAACUCGACAAUACUUUCUUCCAUUUCAUUUGCUUUAUAAAAAAAAGUGUGACAUUAAAUUACAAAAAAAUACAUGCAACGAUUUCAAAAUUGAUUCCAAUGCCAAUGUUCCAAAAAGAGAAACACAUAUCAGACUGCUAUCAACACUGAAAUUAAUCAACAGUGUGGUCUCUCCAUACAGCGGUUGACGGCAGUUUUACGAUUAACCGUACAGACAUAGAAAACACCUCGACCGGAAGCAUCGAGCCAACCCUACCAGCACUGCUCAUGUAACCCGCCCAAAUUUGUGCAGGGCGUACACCUGGUUUGAAUAAUUGAUACCACCUUCCACGGCCUACCAACUGAGGGUAUGCAGCGUCUGCAAAUUCCUCAAUCGUAACAAACUUUUCUACGGGAUUUCUGUUUUCCAAUAUUAGUUUUCUGUAUGGAUAGUAAAUUGAAUUUUCUGGAAUAGCGGCUUCUGUCAUAGUGCCAAGAGGCUUGCUUUGAAUUUUGGUUUGCACACCGCCCGUCAUAAUACUAGUCACUUGGACUCCAAAGGGGGCCAGUUCUAUACGCAGCGUGUUGGAAUAUGCCAACAAGGCAGCCUUUGAGGCGUUGUAUGCUGCAUUAAAGGCAAAGGGAACAUAAGAGACGAGUGAAUUGACGUUCACAAUUGUUCCUUUAGCACGUAUAAGUUGAUGUUGAAACGCCUUGUUCAUUCGAAUUACCCCAUAAAAGUUAACAUCCAUGACUUUACUGACAUCUUCGAUAUCCAGGUCAAUGGCUGGUGCACUACAGGGAGCUCCUGCAUUGUUGAUUAAAUAAUGAAGGGAGCCGUUGGUAAACUUGCGCACCUCUUGCUCAACCUCUCGUACCGAAUCUUCAUCCGUAACGUCGAGUUUUAAUGUUUGAAGGCCAGCUUUUGUCAGGUUAUCCAUACGUUCCACCUGCCUCGCUGUUGCUAAGACUUGAAAACCCUCUUGAUGAAACUUCAAGGCCAACGCAUUUCCAAUGCCUCCUUCACUACACCCUGUAAUUAGUACAAACUUCUCAGCUUCCAUAAUAAAUUUCUCUAUCAAAAUUUCCUACUACUUGGUUAAGAAAGAAACCACUUUUGAAAUAGAUCUUGCUAGUCGCUACAACUUUCAAGUACGUCACAUUUAUUAAGCACUCUCACUCUUUCCGCCGUCAUGAAUAAUAAGCUUGAAAUUCAAAUGUUCCAUACAGUUUGUAGGAUAGUUUACAAAAAAGAAACAAGAACGAGAAUGAAUGAAAGAGUUUUGUUGUUGAAUGGUGUUUUAAUGAAAUUUUGGCAUUAACUGUGUUUAGAGCUUAUAAUCAGUGUUUGCGAUCAUUUUUUUUAAGCUUGCUUUUCAUUUAUCCUUCUUUUUAUUUAUUUUUAUUUUUCUUUUCAUUUACAUUGGCUUUUUCUUUUUUUUAUUUGUUUUCCAA